rnacentral:SRP_RNA from 1 species
GCUGGGUGCGGUGGCUCAUACCUGUAAUCCCAGCACUUUGGGAGGCUGAGAUGGGAGGAUCACCUGAGGUCAGGAGUUCGAGACUAGCCUGGUCAACAUGGUGAAACCCCAUCUCUA